rnacentral:rRNA from 1 species
AUUGAACGCUGGCGGCAGGCUUAACACAUGCAAGUCGAGCGGGGGAGGUUGCUUCGGUAACUGACCUAGCGGCGGACGGGUGAGUAAUGCUUAGGAAUCUGCCUAUUAGUGGGGGACAACAUUCCGAAAGGAAUGCUAAUACCGCAUACGUCCUACGGGGGAAAGCAGGGGAUCUUCGGACCUUGCGCUAAUAGAUGAGCCUAAGUCGGAUUAGCUAGUUGGUGGGGUAAAGGCCUACCAAGGCGACGAUCUGUAGCGGGUCUGAGAGGAUGAUCCGCCACACUGGGACUGAGACACGGCCCAGACUCCUACGGGAGGCAGCAGUGGGGAAUAUUGGACAAUGGGCGGAAGCCUGAUCCAGCCAUGCCGCGUGUGUGAAGAAGGCCUUUUGGUUGUAAAGCACUUUAAGCGAGGAGGAGGCUCCUUUAGUUAAUACCUAAAGAGAGUGGACGUUACUCGCAGAAUAAGCACCGGCUAACUCUGUGCCAGCAGCCGCGGUAA